CCUGUGUAUGUGACAAAGAGAAAUACAGCAUAGAAGUAUACUGAGUAUAUACAAAGUACUCCCAUAGAGUGUCAAUAUGGUCCUGCCACAACAUAUCAAUGGGGUGUGGGUCUUGGACUUGGUCAUUCAAAAACUUUACAGGCAUGUGCAUUUUAUUUCCUGGUGUGACGACUGUUCCCUCUGCUGCCUCUUCUCCUCCUGCAGCGAGCAGCCUCAAGCAUUCAACGUCACCGGCAUUCUGACACCACCGCUCAUCCACCACCUGUUGGACACCACCACCUGUUGUCUUGUUUAGUGCACCUGGUCCACCUUCACAAUCAUUCCCCCCAGUAUAUGUUUCCACUGCUUCCCUGGUCUUUGUGUGUUAUUGUCUCACUGUUGUGAGCAUUGUUUGUGCUAUGCCAUUAUUAAAAGACGUUAAACAUACAACUCCACGUUUCCUGCUCCUCGCUUACUACGAAGCCUAACAGAAUAACACACCCAAAAAGGAAACAUGGAGCACAGAGGACCCGAAAGUAAGGCCGGUGUUGCGGAUCUGGUAAAGGAACACUCGUCGAUGCUCGCCAGCCUAGGCACCGCGAU
ensembl:lncRNA